AUACGGAGGAUCCGAGCGUUAUCCGGAUUUAUUGGGUUUAAAGGGAGCGUAGGCGGACGCUUAAGUCAGUUGUGAAAGUUUGCGGCUCAACCGUAAAAUUGCAGUUGAUACUGGGUGUCUUGAGUACAGUAGAGGCAGGCGGAAUUCGUGGUGUAGCGGUGAAAUGCUUAGAUAUCACGAAGAACUCCGAUUGCGAAGGCAGCCUGCUGGACUGUAACUGACGCUGAUGCUCGAAAGUGUGGGUAUCAAACAGGAUUAGAUACCCUGGUAGUCCACACAGUAAACGAGGAAUACUCGCUGUUUGCGAUAUACAGUAAGCGGCCAAGCGAAAGCGUUAAGUAUUCCACCUGGGGAGUACGCCGGCAACGGUGAAACUUAAAGGAAUUGACGGGG
rnacentral:rRNA from 1 species